GACGAACGCUGGCGGCGUGCUUAACACAUGCCAGUCGAACGGAAAGGCCCUGCUUGCAGGGUACUCGAGUGGCGAACGGGUGAGUAACACGUGGGUGAUCUGCCCUGCACUUCGGGAUAAGCCUGGGAAACUGGGUCUAAUACCGGAUAGGAGCCAUUUUUAGUGUGAUGGUUGGAAAGUUUUUUCGGUGUAGGAUGAGCUCGCGGCCUAUCAGCUUGUUGGUGGGGUAAUGGCCUACCAAGGCGGCGACGGGUAGCCGGCCUGAGAGGGUGGACGGCCACAUUGGGACUGAGAUACGGCCCAGACUCCUACGGGAGGCAGCAGUGGGGAAUAUUGCACAAGGGGCGCAAGCCUGAUGCAGCGACGCCGCGUGGGGGAGGACGGCCUUCGGGUUGUAAACUCCUUUCGCUAGGGACGAAGCUUUUUGUGACGGUACCUAGAGAAGAAGCACCGGCUAACUACGUG
rnacentral:rRNA from 1 species